rnacentral:rRNA from 1 species
UACAGAGGGGGCAAGCGUUGUUCGGAAUUACUGGGCGUAAAGGGCGCGUAGGCGGCCUUCUAAGUCGAACGUGAAAUCCCUGGGCUCAACCCAGGAACUGCGUCCGAUACUGGCAGGCUUGAAUCCGGGAGAGGGAUGUGGAAUUCCAGGUGUAGCGGUGAAAUGCGUAGAUAUCUGGAGGAACACCGGUGGCGAAGGCGGCAUCCUGGACCGAGAUUGACGCUGAGGCGCGAAAGCCAGGGGAGCAAACGGG